UUUUUUUUUUUUUUUCGUUUUUUGAUUUUAAUUUUUUUUUGUUUUAAAAUAUUGUAAUUAUUAUAAUCCCUCUGCAUGGACCACCUCGGAAAGCUGGGGAGUUUUUACUCCUGAGAAACAGCUGCUUGCAACCACAGCUGCAGCUGAUAACAAAUAUCAGGAGCAUUUUGUGCCGAUAACAAAUAUCAAUCAGGAGCACUUUGACUGUUUGAGUGGUCAAAAAUUCCCCCAUAAUUCUGAGAUUUGGUUCACCUGCAGAGCCUUUUUUAGUCUGAGAAUGCUUCCUUUGGGAAGCUCCAUUCAGAACAGAAUCAUCCUUAGCCUGAGGAUGAUUCCUAGCAAUCAGGGGUUUUUAUGCAACAGAAUGGAAAUUUUCUGAAGAUUUUUAUUUUUUUUUCAAUAUUUCUUCACCAACUAUUAGGAUAUUGUGGUACCUUGUAUCAUGGAGAAUUGUUGAGGUCGGAUGGAAGGUAUCAGCAGUGUCAGAAAAUCACGAUGGAGGAGCAGCCUGCAGGCACAGCUCAGCACAGAAUGAGCCAGAUUGCCAUUUCAUGGGGACAGCCAAGCAUCAGUGGAAGAAGUGCAUUAAUGUAGGGGAGAUAAUGCUUCUUGUAGCAGCUGGUCAAUUUUUAUCUUCUCACAUCAAAAGCAUCCCCACCCUUUAUGAGCAGAAGCCUUUUACCUCAGGUGAAUUAAUAUGCUUCCCUUUUUCAUCCCCCCAUGAAAAUCUCUCAUGAAUAGAUACAGCAAUAAAUAGAUUGGUCUAAAGCUCUUUUUACAUUUGUUGUAGCUGAAAAGCAGAAAUGCAAAAUGAG